ACACCGUUGGUGAAGUGGUUAUCAUGCUUGCCUUCCAUUUGCUUGGUCAGUAAACUUUGAGCAAGCGGCUCGGGUUCGAUUCCCGAACGGUGUA